GCGCGGGAGAAGCUUGCUUUUCCUGGCGGCGACCGGCGCACGGGUGCGUAACAGGUGUGCAUCUGUCCUAUACCAGAGCAUAGCCCAGCGAAAGUUGGAUUUAAUUCUCUAUGUGAGCCGAGAGGGCAUCCUUUUGGUUUGAAACGCGAGGGUAUAGGGUGAGCACGCUUCUGAUUAGCUAGUUGGUGAGGUAACGGCUCACCAAGGCGACGAUACAUAGGGGGACUGAGAGGUUAACCCCCCACAUUGGUACUGAGACACGGACCAAACUCCUACGGGAGGCAGCAGUGAGGAAUAUUGGUCAAUGGACGCAAGUCUGAACCAGCCAUGCCGCGUGCAGGAUGACGGCUCUAUGAGUUGUAAACUGCUUUUGUAUGAGGGUAAUAUCAGGUACGUGUACCUGCUUGAAAGUAUCAUACGAAUAAGGAUCGGCUAACUCCGUG
rnacentral:rRNA from 1 species